rnacentral:rRNA from 1 species
UAUGGCUCAGGACGAACGCUGGCGGCGUGCCUAACACAUGCAAGUCGAACGGAACUGUUUUGAAAGAUUUCUUCGGAAUGAAUUUGAUUUAGUUUAGUGGCGGACGGGUGAGUAACGCGUGAGUAACCUGCCUUCAAGAGGGGGAUAACAUUCUGAAAAGAAUGCUAAUACCGCAUGAUAUAUCGGAACCACAUGGUUUUGAUAUCAAAGAUUUUAUCGCUUGAAGAUGGACUCGCGUCCGAUUAGUUAGUUGGUGAGGUAACGGCUCACCAAGACCGCGAUCGGUAGCCGGACUGAGAGGUUGAACGGCCACAUUGGGACUGAGGCACGGCCCAGACUCCUACGGGAGGCAGCAGUGGGGGAUAUUGCGCAAUGGGGGCAACCCUGACGCAGCAACGCCGCGUGAAGGAUGAAGGUUUUCGGAUUGUAAACUUCUUUUAUUAAGGACGAAAAAUGGCGGUACUUAAUGAAUAAGCUCCGGCUAACUACGUGCCAGCAGCCGCGGUAAUACGUAGGGAGCAAGCGUUGUCCGGAUUUACUGGGUGUAAAGGGUGCGUAGGCGGCUUUGCAAGUCAGAUGUGAAAUCUAUGGGCUCAACCCAUAAACUGCAUUUGAAACUGUAGAGCUUGAGUGAAGUAGAGGCAGGCGGAAUUCCCCGUGUAGCGGUGAAAUGCGUAGAGAUGGGGAGGAACACCAGUGGCGAAGGCGGCCUGCUGGGCUUUAACUGACGCUGAGGCACGAAAGCGUGGGUAACAAACAGGAUUAGAUACCCUGGUAGUCCACGCUGUAAACGAUGAUUACUAGGUGUGGGGGGUCUGACCCCUUCCGUGCCGGAGUUAACACAAUAAGUAAUCCACCUGGGGAGUACGGCCGCAAGGUUGCAACUCAAAUGAAUUGACGGA